GAUGAACGCUGGCGGCGUGCCUAAUACAUGCAAGUCGAGCGAACAGACGAGGAGCUUGCUCCUCUGACGUUAGCGGCGGACGGGUGAGUAACACGUGGAUAACCUACCUAUAAGACUGGGAUAACUUCGGGAAACCGGAGCUAAUACCGGAUAAUAUAUUGAACCGCAUGGUUCAAUAGUGAAAGACGGUUUUGCUGUCACUUAUAGAUGGAUCCGCGCCGCAUUAGCUAGUUGGUAAGGUAACGGCUUACCAAGGCAACGAUGCGUAGCCGACCUGAGAGGGUGAUCGGCGGCCCUGGAGCUUAGACGCGGACCUGGCUCCUACGGUAGGCAGCAGUAGGGAAUCGGCCGCAGUGGGCGGAAGCCUUGCGGAGCGACGCCGCGUGAGAUAUAGAAGUCUUCGGAUCGUAAAACUCUGUUAUUAGGGGAAAACAAAUGUGUAAGUAACUAUGCACUUCUUGACGGUACCUAGUCAGAAAGCCACGGCUAACUACGUG
rnacentral:rRNA from 1 species